UACGGAGGGUGCAAGCGUUAAUCGGAAUUACUGGGCGUAAAGCGCGCGUAGGCGGUUAUUUAAGUCGGAUGUGAAAGCCCCGGGCUCAACCUGGGAAUUGCUUUCGAUACUGGGUAACUAGAGUAUGGGAGAGGGUUGUGGAAUUCCACGUGUAGCGGUGAAAUGCGUAGAUAUCGGGAAGAAGGCCGGUGGCGAAGGCG
rnacentral:rRNA from 1 species